GACAGAGGGGGCAAGCGUUGCUCGGAAUCACUGGGCGUAAAGGGCGCGUAGGCGGGAUGGCAAGUCAGUCGUGAAAUCUCUCGGCUCAACCGAGAAACGUCGGCUGAUACUGCCGUUCUUUGAGGGAUGCAGAGGAGACUGGAAUUCCCGGUGUAGCGGUGAAAAUGUGUAGAGAUCGGGAGGAACACCGGUGGCGAAGGCG
rnacentral:rRNA from 1 species